AAAAAUGAGGCUAGAACAGUUUGAAACAGACUAUAUCUUUCCUUUUGAGCUCAAAUAUACAUAAUCUGACCCGAAUAUGAAAAUACAUAUGUAUAUGUGUAGUACUUGUACCUUUUUGAGUCAAAAUUAUUGGGUGUACGUACACCCAUGUCCACUUCUAGAGAUCUGCAGCUGCCAUUGCAUACAAGAUCUGCAGCAGAGUGCAUACUCUCUUGCAGACAAUCUAUUUGUAAACAGCAGAGUAUG
rnacentral:lncRNA from 1 species